rnacentral:lncRNA from 1 species
ACAGUAUUCUAUUGCAGAAAAUGGCAAGCCACCUAGCUUCAACUCUGCUUGUCCUUUAUUUGCUCUGGCUGACCACUGUGUUCUUCUUAUUCCUUUGAGAGGGAAACAUGCUGAGACAGAUAUUUUCCAGAAAACUUGCUCUGAGUUAAUGCCCAAGAAGAGAAGAAAUGAUUUGAACAGCUAAAUAUGUGAGACCUUGUGUCAGGCUUUUUCGAGUUGAUCUCUCAAUUUGACAAAAUGUACAUCUUUGUAGAACUAAAAAGUUCAAUAGCUGCUUUGGUGUGUGUUUAGUUUGAUUUAGUCCCAGUUUCUGCUUUUCUUUCUAGACUCUCUCU